rnacentral:rRNA from 1 species
GGCCUUUUGGRGAUUUAUAUAAAAGGUUGGGCCUGCCCGGUGAUCUGAAAUGGUUUAACGGCUGCGAUUGAAACCGUACUAAGGUAGCAUAAUAAUUUGCCCUUUAAUUGGGGGAGAGAAUGAAUGGUUUGACGGUAAAAAAGCUGUUUUAAAAAUAAAAAAAGAAGUUAACUUUUAAGUGAAAAGGCUUAAGUUUUUAUAAAAGACGAGAAGACCCCGUCGAGCUUAAUUAGAAUAACUUAAAUGUAGGUUAUUUAAAAUUUUAUUGGGGCAAUAGAAAAUGAAAUGAAUCAUUUUUUUUAUUAUAAGGAUCCAGUUUUGACUGAAAAAAGCAAAAGCUACCGCGGGGAUAACAGGGUAAUUUUUUCUGAGAGUUCAUAUUUAAGAAGAAGUUUGCUACCUCGAUGUUGGAUUAGAAUUUCUUUAUGCUUGCAGCAGGUAUAAUAGUAGGACUGUUCGUCCUUUAAAAUUUUACA